AAUCAACGCUGGCGGCGUGCCUAACACAUGCAAGUCGAACGCGAAAGCCCUUUCGGGGGUAAGUAGAGUGGCGUCCGGGUGAGUAACACGUGGGUAAUCUGCCUUCGGGUGGGGAAUAACCCAGGGAAACUUGGGCUAAUACCGCAUAAUGCAGCGGCACCUAAUGGUGAUUAGUUGUUAAAGCGGGGGAUCGCAAGACCUCGCGCCUGAAGAGGAGCCUGCGGCAGAUUAGCUAGUUGGUGAGGUAAUGGCUCACCAAGGCUGCGAUCUGUAGCUGGUCUGAGAGGACGGCCAGCCACACUGGCACUGACACACGGGCCAGACUCCUACGGGAGGCAGCAGUGGGGAAUUUUGGGCAAUGGGCGAAAGCCUGACCCAGCAACGCCGCGUGAGGGAGGAAAUCCUUCGGGAUGUAAACCUCACAAGCAAGGGAAGAGAGCUACGGGCUGAAUAAUCCC
rnacentral:rRNA from 1 species